AAGGGUAGCGCUGGAUCCUGGGCUGUGUCCCCUGGCGCCCUGGGCUCCAGGGCCUGCGCUGCUGGAAUUGAUCUCCUGGGCUGCGCAGCCCCCU
rnacentral:pre_miRNA from 1 species